rnacentral:tRNA from 1 species
GUUAAUAUAGUUUUAAAACAAACAUUAGACUG